rnacentral:rRNA from 1 species
UACGAAGGGUGCAAGCGUUACUCGGAAUUACUGGGCGUAAAGCGUGCGUAGGUGGUUUGUUAAGUCUGCUGUGAAAGCCCCGGGCUCAACCUGGGAAUGGCAGUGGAUACUGGCAAGCUAGAGUGCGGUAGAGGGUAGUGGAAUUCCCGGUGUAGCGGUGAAAUGCGCAGAUAUCAGGAGGAACACCAAUGGCGAAGGCAGCACUCUGGGACGUGACUGACGCUGAGACGCGAAAGCGUGGGGAGCAAACAGG